UACUCGAGUGGCGAACGGGUGAGUAACACGUGGUGAUCUGCCCUGCACUCUGGGAUAAGCCUGGGAAACUGGGUCUAAUACCGGAUAGGACCAUGCUUUAGUGUGUGUGGUGGAAAGUUUUUUCGGUGUAGGAUGAGCCCGCGGCCUAUCAGCUUGUUGGUGGGGUAAUGGCCUACCAAGGCGGCGACGGGUAGCCGGACUGAGAGGUUGGUCGGCCACAUUGGGACUGAGAUACGGUCCAG
rnacentral:rRNA from 1 species